UAGGGAAUCUUCCGCAAUGGGCGAAAGCCUGACGGAUCAACGCCGCGUGAGUGAUGAAGGUCUUCGGAUCGUAAAACUCUGUUAUUAGGGAAGAACAAAUGUGUAAGUAACUAUGCACGUCUUGACGGUACCUAAUCAGAAAGCCACGGCUAACUACGUGCCAGCAGCCGCGGUAAUACGUAGGUGGCAAGCGUUAUCCGGAAUUAUUGGGCGUAAAGCGCGCGUAGGCGGUUUUUUAAGUCUGAUGUGAAAGCCCACGGCUCAACCGUGGAGGGUCAUUGGAAACUGGAAAACUUGAGUGCAGAAGAGGAAAGUGGAAUUCCAUGUGUAGCGGUGAAAUGCGCAGAGAUAUGGAGGAACACCAGUGGAGAAGGCGACUUUCUGGUCUGUAACUGACGCUGAUGUGCGAAAGCGUGGGGAUCAAACAGG
rnacentral:rRNA from 1 species